CUAAGAGGGUUUCAGCUAGAGAGAGGAAGAGAAAGAAAAAAAUUUAGCUCAUCAAUUCUUGGUCCAAAAAUCAUAAUCUUCUAGUUUUCCUAUUAAGUUGGAAACCCUCUUCAAUGUGAUACAAAUUUGGAAGCAAAAGAGUACUUUUUUUACAAAGUGGAAAUUCUUGAAGAAAAGGAUUCUGAGCGAAACGGGAUUUGAGUUUUGGACGAGCGUAAGACGUAUAUAAGGUACAGAUACCAGUGAUCCACCACUGUAGGCUCCACUUUCUGCUAUUUCGGAGUACUCCCUUUUGAUCCGGAGUCCACUUUUGGUACAUACAUCUUUUGCUAUGUAUAUACUUCUGUAUAUCUGACUAUUUGGGUACGGCGGGGCCCUGUCCCGUCAUAUGUCUUCGUUUUGGAUUUGUAGAGGCCUGUAGUCAUAUAUGU